AAAUUCUCUUAUUCUCUCUCAUUCUCUCAUUCUCUCUCUCUCUCUCUCUCCCUAAGAUCCUUCGCCGUUCGUCGUCCGUUUCCAAAAACGGAGGGUACUGCGUGGAUCAGAAGAGGAAACUCUACACUUUUAGCAGAUCGGAUCGUCGUUUCAGAGAGUUUCGGGCUUUCCCAAGAAUCGAGGUCCGUCCGUGUGUCAGUCCUAGUAGAUAAAGGGACUGGGGAGGUUAUUUUGGUUAACUUACGUAAACAUCUAAAUUUUGUACUAAACUUGAUGAAAGUCCUUUUUGGAGGGUUGUAAUAUGACGAUUACUCUACGUCCGAAUGUAUGUAAAUUAUGGAUGCAUUAGUGAACUCUGGUAUAAGGCUAGUAGUAAUCCCAAUGGAUGUUUAUGUUUUUCCGCAACAUUUACAUCAUGAUUAUGUAUGAUUUACACCCGUAUGUCCCUAUUUAGGGCGGGUUGUUUCCAUAUCUUGAACAGGUAUAGGUAUUUGAUGUAUGUGAGUGACACCUAAGUCCAUGUAAAGGGUCAGGUCGUUACAUAAGGAAUGGAAGGAUCUUCAAUGGCAAUAUAAAUUUUGUGCAUU